AUACGUAGGUGGCAAGCGUUGUCCGGAAUUAUUGGGCGUAAAGCGCAUGUAGGCGGUAAUUUAAGUCUGUCGUGAAACUGCGGGGCUCAGCCCCGUAUGGCGAUGGAAACUGGGUUACUUGAGUGCAGGAGAGGAAAGGGGAACUCCCAGUGUAGCGGUGAAAUGCGUAGAUAUUGGGAAGAACACCGGUGGCGAAGGCGCCUUUCUGGACUGUGUCUGACGCUGAGAUGCGAAAGCCAGGGUAGCGAACGGGAUUAGAGACCCCGGUAGUCCUGGCCGUAAACGAUGGGUACUAGGUGUGGGAGGUAUCGACCCCUUCCGUGCCGGAGUUAACGCAAUAAGUACCCCGCCUGGGGAGUACGGCCGCAAGGCUUAAACUCAAAUGAAUUGACGGGG
rnacentral:rRNA from 1 species